rnacentral:siRNA from 1 species
ACAAUACUCUUUUAUGUUGUCUA